rnacentral:misc_RNA from 1 species
AUGUAAUAUCACUCUAUUUGAAGAAGAAAAAUAAAAAGACAAUAAGAUUUUAACAAGUUCUUGUUAUAUUGUCUAGAGAGAAACAAUUGGUCUGCCAAUGAUACAGAAAAAAUCUAGUUUAAUGAUUUACAACUUCAAAUUGAGAUCAACAUUUUCCACUGCGUCACCACCACUACAGUUGCUAGUGGUCUUUGUUGGUGGGCCAAUUUGCAUAAUUGCUGGUGGCAGGAAGCUAUAGUAAGGCUGAAGAUCAUUUGGUACGCUUGGUCCUGGUUCAACAGUUGGAUCUUCCAUGCUACCUUGAUAAGGUAGUGAAUCAAAAUCUAAGUUUCCAUAGUUAUGUAAGGCAAGAUAAGCUGAAGGUGGCUCCAACUUGGAAUUUUGACAUGUCAAGGUAGUUGUCGGAGGGCCUAAUGUGAGAAAAUCUCCCCUGGAAACCGCAUUUUCUUUGACGAUUUUCUUGGAAUUCGGCUUAGGCUCUGAGAUUGAAUCAGAACAUAAAGGGCCUUCUCUGAAAAAGAAAACAUAGGCUUAAUAAUUAAUAAUUGAACGCUAAUAUACAGAAUCCCAUAAUGAUUUUCUUUAUAUAGAGAUACAUGUAGAGUUGAGCUACACAUUGGGAGUAACACGCUUAGUUGUUUACUUCUUCUAAUCCAACUAAAGAAUGAAAUAUGGCGAAAAAAUCAAAUAAAGGUAAACCUGAAAUUAGGGUUGGCAAGAGUGAAAUUGAAUGUGCCUGCAUUGCCAAAUGAAAAUGAUUCAUCUGAUCUGCCAAUGGGGUGAACAAUAGGAGGGAACUUGCUGGGGAAAGAAGGCCCUGGAGGGUUGUCUAGGGCAAAUGGAUAUGGCCUCUUCAUGCCAACCAUCUAUAAUACAUAUUAACCAAAUUCACCAAUUAACAAAAAUUAAAAAUGAAAAAGAGCAACUGAUUUGUUAGAUUAUAUCCUAAUUUCAAUAAAUGCAACAGUAACUUCACAUAACCUAUUAUCAUCAUAAAAAUAUGAACUAAUUAAAAUUAUAAAAAAAACUUUUAAUUUCAAAGAAGAAAUUUUCUGGUUAAAAUUUAGCAGUGAAUUAAUUUAUUGUAAGCUGAAAAACUAAUUACAAACAAGUUUAACUCACCUUUUCCUCCGCUGGCCAAAUAGGUGUAUAGUUCCCAUAAUAGCUUUGGUUUGAAGGGAGUUCCAUAUGCAAAUUUUGUAGAGAUGAUGAUGAACUUGUUGAUGAGACAUUUACCUACAUCAUUUCCAUAAAAGUACAAAAUAAAAUAAAAAAUACAAUAAUUAACUUUCUGAGAUAAGAAUUAUUCUAGCAUACCAUUGGAGGAGGAGGAGGAGGUUGCUGAUAUUGUACUCUUUGCGUCAAGCUAGGAAGAGGCCAAAUGGAAUUGGAUUCAAAGGGCAAAUUUAAACUGGACCUGAAAGCCAAUCCAGGAUCAAUCCCACAAGCAGUCUCCUUUUCAAGAUCAAAGUCAUAAGAAUUCCAAAUCUUAGGCAUAUUUCCAUGCCCUUGAACAGAAACUGAUUGCCAACCCAAAGAAUUGACAAAUGGAAUUGUGUUUGAGUUAAAAAUAUCGGUAUUUUGAGGCCUAAGUAUUGAAUUUGGGGAUGAGAUAUCAGAAGGGCAGGGGAUUGAGGAAGUGGAAUAAGACUGAUAAUUUGGUAUUGGCACAGAUGCUGAGUGAUUUGAAGGCUUGGGUGGUGAUGAUAUAGGAGUUGAUGCUGAUGUCAAUAUCAUAGAUCCAUCUUUCUUUUGUUCUUCUAGUCUGAUCUUUUCUAGUUGUGCCACACCAAGUCCUCUUUGUGGGACUUUCUUUUGCUUUUGCUUCUUGGAUGAUCUACCACCACCACUAUUAUUACUAUUGCUACACUUUGGGGUUUCUUCUUCUUGAACCAUUUCUGUUAUCUUCCAUCUAAUUAUGUAAAUGCAAGAAUUUUUCAAGAAUCCAAACCUAUUUGCAAAAGAUGUAAAAGAAAGAUCCAAAACUUGAUUUGCAUGCCAGAUAUGCACUAUUUCAAUUUCUUGGAUCCUCUUGGACCUCUCUCGUUAUGAACACCAAGACUUGAAAGAUAUUACAAACCAAACUUAAAUUUGACAAAAGGAAAGUUUUAAAGAAAUACAAGUAUUGGUUCUAUUGUUUCUUGGCAAUUUCUGUUUUGAAGAACAAGAUUUAGAGAAAAUUUAAAGGAAGUUAUGCAGGAUAGAAAGAUUAGGAGAGAGAGAGAUAUACACACCCCAAAUCUUGAAUUUCAAGGAGGCAGAGUUUGAAAUCAAAAUGACAGAUUACAACUACAAAAUAUAGAGGAAUUUUAAGAACCAAGUUAAAAAAAAAAAAA